rnacentral:misc_RNA from 1 species
UCUCCGUAGGUGAACCUGCGGAGGGAUCAUUACAGAGUUCAUGCCCUACCGGGUAGGUCUCCCACCCUAUGUUAUUAUUACUUUGUUGCUUUGGCGGGCCGUUAGGCUCCGGCCCGACUACCGGCCCCGGCUGGUAAGCGCCCGCCAGAGGACCCAAAACCCUGAAUAUUAGUGUCGUCUGAGUACUAUAUAGUAGUUAAAACUUUCAACAACGGAUCUCUUGGUUCUG